rnacentral:rRNA from 1 species
GAUGAACGCUAGCGACAGGCCUAACACAUGCAAGUCGAGGGGCAUCGGGGCGUAGCAAUACGCUGCCGGCGACCGGCGGAUGGGUGAGUAACGCGUAUGCAACCUACCUUCAGCAGGGGGAUAGCCCGUUGAAAGACGGAUUAAUACCCCAUAACACAGGGGCUCCGCAUGGAGAUUAUUGUUAAAGGGAUGCUUCCUUCGGGGAGUAUUCCGGCUGCAGAUGGGCAUGCGUUCCAUUAGGUAGUUGGUUGAGGUAACGGCUCACCAAGCCUACGAUGGAUAGGGGAACUGAGAGGUUGGUCCCCCACACUGGUACUGAGACACGGACCAGACUCCUACGGGAGGCAGCAGUGAGGAAUCUUGGUCAAUGGACGGAAGUCUGAACCAGCCAUGUCGCGUGAAGGAGGACGGCCCUAAGGGUUGUAAACUUCUUUUGCAGGGGGAUAAAGUAUUCCACGAGAUGGGAUAUUGCAAGUACGCUGCGAAUAAGGAUCGGCUAACU